UACGUAGGGGGCAAGCGUUGUCCGGAUUUAUUGGGCGUAAAGAGCGUGUAGGCGGCUUUGCAAGUCCGUUGUGAAAACUCGAGGCUCAACCUCGAGACGUCGGUGGAAACCAUCCAGCUAGAGUCCGGAAGAGGAGAGUGGAAUUCCUGGUGUAGCGGUGAAAUGCGCAGAUAUCAGGAAGAACACCCGUGGCGAAAGCGGCUCUCUGGGACGGUACUGACGCUGAGACGCGAAAGCGUGGGGAGCGAACAGG
rnacentral:rRNA from 1 species